rnacentral:rRNA from 1 species
AGCAGUCGCCACGGUAAUACGUAGGUCCCGAGCGUUGUCCGGAUUUAUUGGGCGUAAAGCGAGCGCAGGCGGUUAGAUAAGUCUGAAGUUAAAGGCUGUGGCUUAACCAUAGUACGCUUUGGAAACUGUUUAACUUGAGUGCAAGAGGGGAGAGUGGAAUUCCAUGUGUAGCGGUGAAAUGCGUAGAUAUAUGGAGGAACACCGGUGGCGAAAGCGGCUCUCUGGCUUGUAACUGACGCUGAGGCUCGAAAGCGUGGGGAGCAAACAGGAUUAGAUACCCCUGUAGUCCCUGUCUCUUAUACC